ensembl:snRNA U6 U6 spliceosomal RNA
GUGCUCGCUUAGCCAGCGCAUAUACUAAAAUUGGAACGAUACAGAGAAGAUUAGCAUGGCCCCUGUGCAAGGAUGUGCAAAUUCGUGAGGCGUUCCAUAUUUUU